rnacentral:lncRNA from 1 species
CUCUAUCUAUCUAUCAUCCAUCUGUCUGUCUACCCAUCCUUCUACCCAUUCUUCAUCUAUCUAUCCUUCCAUCUGCCCUUCCCUCUACCCACCAUCUGUCCUGUCUAUCUAUCCAUCCAUCCAUCUGUCCUUCCCUCCACCCACCAUCUGUCCUGUCUGUGUCUGUCUGUCUAUCUAUCUAUCCAUCCAUCCAUCGGCCCUUCCCUCCACCCACCACAUAUCCUGUCUAUCUAUGUCUAUCUAUCCAUCCAUCCAUCUGUCCUUCCCUCCACCCACCAUCUGUCCUGACUGUGUCUAUCUAUCUAUCCAUCCAUCAGCCCUUCCCUCCUCCCACCAUCUGUCCUGUCUGUCCAUCCAUCCAUCCAUCCAUCCAUCUUCCCUUCCCUCCUCCCACCAACUGUCCUGUCUAUCCAUGUCUAUCCAUCCAUCCAUCUUCCCUUCCCUCCUCCCACCAUCUGUCCUGUCUGUCUGUGUCUAUCUAUUCAUCCAUCCAUCUUCCCUUCCCUCCUCCCACCAUCUGUCCUGUCUCUCUGUGUCUAUCUAUCCAUCCAUCCAUCAGCCCUUCCCUCCUCCCACCAUCUGUCCUGUCUAUAUGUCUAUCCAUCCAUCCAUCAGCCCUUCCCUCCUCCCACCAUCUGUCCUGUCUGUGUCUAUCCAUCCAUCCAUCUGUCCUUCCCUCCUCCCACCAUCUGUCCUGUCUAUCCAUGUCUAUCCAUCCAUCCAUCAGCCUUUCCCUCCUCCCACCAUCUGUCCUAUCUGUGUCUAUCUAUCCGUCCAUCCACCAUCUGUCCUGACUGUCAAUGUCUAUCUAUCCAUCCAUUCAUCUUCCCUUCCCUCCACCCACCAUCUGUCCUGACUGUCGAUGUCUAUCUAUCCAUCCACCCAUCAUCUGCUCUUUCCUCCACCCACCAUCUGUCCUGUCUAUCUAUCCAUCCAUCCAUCAUCUGUUCUUCCCUACACCCACCAUCUGUCCUGUCUGUCUGUCUGCUUAUGCAUCCAUUCGUCUUCCCUUCCCUCUACCCACCAUCUGUACUGUCUGUCUGUCUAUCCAUCCAUCCGUCUUCCCUUCCCUCCACCCACCAUCUGUCCUGUCUGUCUGUCCAUCCUGCUCUUUCCUCCACCCAUCAUCUGUCCUGUCUGUCUAUCUAUCCAUCCAUCUGCCCUUCCCUAUACCCACAAUCUGUCCUGUCUGUGUUGCUCUCUUCAUCCAUCUGCCUUUCCCUCCACCCACCCUCUAUCCUAUCUAUGUCUCUGUUCAUCCAUCUGUCUGCCCUUCCUUCCACCCAUCCCCUGUCUGUCUGUCUGUGUUUGUGCUCUUAUCUUUCCAUGUGCUGUCUGCCCUCUCUAUUCUUGGUCCAUCCCUCUGUGGCCUGCACUGUGUUGGCCUGUUCUGUUGAUUUGUGCAGGUGCCGGGAAGGUUUCUUCCUGGUAGCUUAGGUGAGCAUUGAGCCUCUGGUAUUGGAGAUAUAUUUUUAUUCAUAUCAAUACUCCCCAAAUUACCCUGGCCUUGCUUGGGUCAUCUGCUCACUCUGGGCCAGGCAGGUCGCCUGUAGUGUGGUCUGUCCAUCAGGGGUGGGGUCAGAAUUCUCAGAAGAAAGUGAUGUGGGAAGGCCCACAAGUUCUAGAUGUCUUCCAUAUCUAGGGCUUACUUCCUUUUAUUUUACUGUGAGUUGCAUGUGAAAUUCCUAGAAUAAAUAAAAGUAGGCAUGAUUUAGUCAUAGUUAUAGAAUUUGUGCAACUGUAAUACCAAAAUAAAUUUUAGUUUAAUCUUGAACAAAGUAAUAAAAC